GACUGCUCCGGUGGCCCAGUGGUUAGAUCGUCCGCCUCAAAUGCGAAAGGUCGCGGGUUCGAACUCCGGUCGAGUCA